CGCUAUCACUCCUACGGGGAGCAGCAGUAGGGAAUCUUCACAAUGGGCGCAAGCCUGAUGGAGCAACACCGCGUGAGUGAAGAAGGGUUUCGGCUCGUAAAGCUCUGUUGUUAAAGAAGAACACGUAUGAGAGUAACUGUUCAUACGUUGACGGUAUUUAACCAGAAAGUCACGGCUAACUACGUGCCAGCAGCCGCGGUAAUACGUAGGUGGCAAGCGUUAUCCGGAUUUAUUGGGCGUAAAGAGAGUGCAGGCGGUUUUCUAAGUCUGAUGUGAAAGCCUUCGGCUUAACCGGAGAAGUGCAUCGGAAACUGGAUAACUUGAGUGCAGAAGAGGGUAGUGGAACUCCAUGUGUAGCGGUGGAAUGCGUAGAUAUAUGGAAGAACACCAGUGGCGAAGGCGGCUACCUGGUCUGCAACUGACGCUGAGACUCGAAAGCAUGGGUAGCGAACAGGAUUAGAUACCCUGGUAG
rnacentral:rRNA from 1 species